rnacentral:rRNA from 1 species
UACGAAGGGAGCUAGCGUUGUUCGGAAUCACUGGGCGUAAAGCGCACGUAGGCGGCUUACUAAGUCAGGGGUGAAAUCCUGGAGCUCAACUCCAGAACUGCCUUUGAUACUGGCGAUCUUGAGUCCGGGAGAGGUGAGUGGAACUGCGAGUGUAGAGGUGAAAUUCGUAGAUAUUCGCAAGAACACCAGUGGCGAAGGCGGCUCACUGGCCCGGUACUGACGCUGAGGUGCGAAAGCGUGGGGAGCAAACAGG